AAACAGUGGCUAAGACUGGAUAGGAAGAUAAAAGGCAUCUUUUAUCUUUUAAAAGACCUAGUAAUAGGUAUGCUUUAGGAGGGGCUUGCGCCAUAUUAGUUAGUUGGUAGGGUAAUGGCCUACCAAGACGAUGAUGUGUAGCUGGACUGAGAGGUUGAACAGCCACAUUGGGACUGAGACACGGCCCAAACUCCUACGGGAGGCAGCAGUAGGGAAUUUUCGGCAAUGGAGGAAACUCUGACCGAGCAACGCCGCGUGAAUGACGAAGUACUUCGGUAUGUAAAGUUCUUUUAUCAAGGAAGAAAAGCAAAUGGCGAACCAUUUGUUUGCCGGUACUUGAUGAAUAAGCCCCGGCUAAUUAUGUGCCAGCAGCCGCGGUAAGACAUAAGGGGCAAGUGUUAUCCGGAAUUAUUGGGCGUAAAGGGUGCGUAGGCGGUCUAGUAAGUCAGUGGUGUAAUGGCAACGCUUAACGUUGUCCGGCUAUUGAAACUGCUAAACUUGAGUUAGAUAGAGGCGAGUGGAAUUCCAUGUGUAGCGGUAAAAUGCGUAAAUAUAUGGAGGAACACCAGAGGCGUAGGCGGCUCGCUGGGUCUUAACUGACGCUGAGGCACGAAAGCGUGGGGAGCAAACAGGAUUAGAUACCCUGGUAGUCCACGCCGUAAACGAUGAGUACUAAGUGUCGGGUUAAACCGGUACUGAAGUUAACACAUUAAGUACUCCGCCUGAGUAGUACGUACGCAAGUAUGAAACUUAAAGGAAUUGACGGGACUCCGCACAAGCGGUGGAUCAUGUUGUUUAAUUCGAAGAUACCCGAAAAACCUUACCAGGUCUUGACAUGUUUUUGCAAAAUGAUAGUAAUAUCGUGGAGGUUACCAGAAACACAGGUGGUGCAUGGUUGUCGUCAGCUCGUGUCGUGAGAUGUUAGGUUAAGUCCUAAAACGAGCGAAACCCUUAUCGUUAGUUGCCAGCACGUUAUGGUGGGGACUUUAACGAGACUGCCAAUGAUAAAUUGGAGGAAGGUGAGGAUCACGUCAAAUCAGCAUGCCCCUUAUGACCUGGGCUACAAACGUGAUACAAUGGCUGUUACAAAGGGUAGCUGAAACGCAAGUUCUUGGCCAAUCCCCAAAAACAGUCUCAGUCCGGAUUGAAGUCUGCAACUCGACUUCAUGAAGUUGGAAUCGCUAGUAAUCGCGAAUCAGCAUGUCGCGGUGAAUACGUUCUCGGGGUUU
rnacentral:rRNA from 1 species